GCAGGAUCCUGUCCCUACUCCUGUAGGCCUCCUCUUUCUCAUGACAGAGCUGUUAAGUCUCUGUCUGUCCUCUCCUUCUCGCUUGCUAUACUGAGUUCCUGUUCCCAUUGCUCCAGUACCUCUCCUGCCAGCUUCUGCAUACUCGCCUGUGCUCCUCACCACAGAGUGAGCUGCGUCCAGCCCUGCCUCUGCAUACUUGCCUGUGUUCCUUGCUGCUGAAUGAGCUGCCUCCUGGCCCAGCUUCAGCAGUCUCACCUAUGGCUCUGAGACGGUGUGCAUUUGACCUUCUGUGAGUAGCCACUUCCUCAACCUACCUGCGUGGUGUACUUACCUCCGAUCCUGCAACCAAGCCAACAUCUUCCUCGUCCUCCCAUGAGUAGCCACUUCCUCAACCUACCUGUGUGGCAUACUCACCUCCAUUCCUGUAACCAGGCCAGCUCCUUUCUCCAUCCUCCUCGUCCACCUGUCAGUCAUCUCUCCCACCAUUACCAGCUAAAAUAGUGAUUUGUAAAUCAUCUUUGCCCUGUAUUACAUUGAAAACAAUAUUUUCUCCACCCGUCGCCAAAUAUUUGUUCAAGAGGAAUUUGAUGAGUUUUCCUUAUAAUAGUGUAAGGUCUACACCUGAUUGUGUAAAGUGCCCUGAGAAAAUUAUUGUGAAUAUAUACUGUAUGAAGCUCUACAGAUCUUGCUUGUUGCUUCCUUUAGCUGCCUAUUUGCUUUUUUUUAAAUUUCAGAUGACAGAUUAUACCAGAGACCAAGAUCAUUCUUGUACCAAUUUUUUUUUUUAAUUUUAAUCAAUGAGCACUUUAUAAAAUUGUCAAAAGAUAGCAUGUUUGAUCUAGGAUGUGUAUUACAGGGCAGUUCACAAUCUGGAUAAUGCUUCUCACCUGGCAGUGUUACUGGAAUUGAAUGCAUAUGUUCCAGCAAAUCCAGGGUUUCAAAAAGCAUUUCUUAUAGAAGGAGAAAAACAGUCCAGUUCCAGCCUAAAUUGUUCAGUUUUAAAGGUGAUGAACUGGUUUAAGCUUAGGUUAAGGAAUGAGGUUAAGCAAGUGUUAUGGCUAAGGUUAGCGUGCAUCUUCAGGAAAUGAAUAUACUGUAAGUCAAUGAAGACCCCAUGAGGAAUGAAAUGUGUUCAUGUGUGUUUGUCCAUUGUCACUAGGUGGCACUUGUGUUUCAUGAUUACUUUAGGAUUUAGACAAAUGUUGGGAGUGAAUUUCCUGCAUUAAAUGCACUUUAUUAAUAUGCUAAAUGGUUGUAAUGGUGAUGUAUUUGUUUAAUGUUUUUUGUCUUUUUCACAAAUUAUUAUCAUCAUUUCUAUUAUUAACAUAAUUUUGACUCACCUUAUUUCCAGAUCAUAAAAGAAUUCCCAUUUGAUUCUCCUUAGACUUUAUGAACACUAUAAUGCUUACUGGGACACUGAAUAGCAUGGAGCCAUCAAUAAUGCUAUCAGUAAUAGCAUGCACAUUCAUUGUGUGACAAACAUGUCUAUGGAAUCUCCACCUUAAUGUGGUAGAGAGGUUUGUGUAUACCAGUGAUCCUAGGAGCUGUGUUGUCCAGGGCAUCAGCCCCUGGUAGGAUCUCCCAAGGAAAAUUGGUCCCAGGAGAAGGACCAGACUAAGAGCGAUUCAAGAUCCUGGUGAAAAUAUUUACUAUAAGUUGUACUACCUCACCCAGAUUACAGAAACUGAGGCACCUGUCAUGAUUCUGUCCCGCCUGUUUCCGGUCUCGUGCUUUUAUUUUCAGUGCUAUGCAAGUUGGGUGGCAGGCUAGCUCAAGU